ACACUGGUCUUUAUUAAGACCAUUGAAAAGUCACAAUAAGUUUGUAG
rfam:Calypte anna contig10199, whole genome shotgun sequence.